rnacentral:rRNA from 1 species
CCUACGGGUGGCAGCAGUGGGGAAUAUUGGGCAAUGGGCGCAAGCCUGACCCAGCAACGCCGCGUGAAGGAAGAAGGCCCUCGGGUUGUAAACUUCUUUUAUCAGGGACGAAGAAGUGACGGUACCUGAUUAAUAAGCCACGGCUAACUACGUGCCAGCAGCCGCGGUAAUACGUAGGUGGCAAGCGUUAUCCGGAUUUACUGGGUGUAAAGGGCGUGUAGGCGGUGAAGCAAGUCAGAUGUGAAAUUCCAGGUCUCAACCCUGGAACUGCAUUUGAAACGGGUUUUCUUGAGUGAUGGAGAGGCAGGCGGAAGUCCGUGUGUAGCGGUGAAAUGCGUAGAUAUACGGAGGAACACCAGUGGCGAAGGCGGCCUGCUGGACAUUAACUGACGCUGAGGCGCGAAAGCGUGGGGAGCAAACAGGAUUAGAUACCCGAGUAGUC